rnacentral:rRNA from 1 species
CCUACGGGUGGCAGCAGUAGGGAAUAUUGCUCAAUGGGGGAAACCCUGAAGCAGCAACGCCGCGUGGAGGAUGAAGGUUUUCGGAUUGUAAACUCCUUUUGUUAGAGAAGAUAAUGACGGUAUCUAACGAAUAAGCACCGGCUAACUCCGUGCCAGCAGCCGCGGUAAUACGGAGGGUGCAAGCGUUACUCGGAAUCACUGGGCGUAAGGAGCGCGUAGGCGGGAUAGCAAGUCAGAUGUGAAAUCCUAUGGCUUAACCAUAGAACUGCAUUUGAAACUGUUAAUCUAGAGUAUGGGAGAGGUAGGUGGAAUUCUUGGUGUAGGGGUAAAAUCCGUAGAGAUCAAGAGGAAUACUCAUUGCGAAGGCGACCUGCUGGAACAUAACUGACGCUGAUGCGCGAAAGCGUGGGGAGCAAACAGGAUUAGAUACCCGGGUAGUC